rnacentral:lncRNA from 1 species
UCAUAAUUAAUUUAGAUGGAACCCAAACUUUUUGGUACCUAUGUUGCAUGCCUUUUUUGACUUGAUCCAAUCCCUAUCCAAUAAGGAUUCCUAAUCUCAAGAAGAAUUUGGAUUUACCAUGUGCUAACAUGAUUUUUUUAAAUCCAAUAGAAUUUUAUAAAUUCUAACUCAAUUAGGACUUCAUAAGCUUAAUUGUAUGAUCCUAGAUCAAAUUUUUUUAUGUAUGAUCCUAUAGGUUCAAUUCUAUUCGAUAGUG